GAUGGGGUGUAGAGAAGAGGAGGAGAUGGGGUGUAGAGAAGAGGAGGAGAAGGUGUGUAGAGAAGAGGAGGAGAUGGGGUGUAGAGAAGAGGAGGAGAUGGGGUGUAGAGAAGAGGAGGAGAUGGGGUGUAGAGAAGAGGAGGAGAUGGGGUGUAGAGAAGAGGAGGAGAAGGUGUGUAGAGAAGAGGAGGAGAUGGGGUGUAGAGAAGAGGAGGAGAUGGGGUGUAGAGAAGAGGAGGAGAUGGGGUGUAGAGAAGAGGAGGAGAUGGGGUGUAGAGAAGAGGAGGAGAUGGGGUGUAGAGAAGAGGAGGAGAUGGGGUGUAGAGAAGAGGAGGAGAAGGUGUGUAGAGAAGAGGAGGAGAUGGGGUGUAGAGAAGAGGAGGAGAUGGAGAGAAUAGGUGGAGAAGGUGUGUAGAGAAGAGGAGGAGAUGAAGAGAAGAGGUGGAGAAGGUGUGUAGAGAAGAGGAGGAGAUGGGGUGUAGAGAAGAGGAGGAGAUGGAGAGAAUAGGUGGAGAAGGUGUGUAGAGAAGAGGAGGAGAUGGGGUGUAGAGAAGAG